rnacentral:rRNA from 1 species
AACAAACGCUGGCGGCGUGCCUAACACAUGCAAGUCGUACGAGAAAGUUCGCUUCGGCGGAUGAGUAGAGUGGCGCACGGGUGAGUAACACGUGGAUAAUCUACCCUUCAGUUGGGAAUAACUCAUCGAAAGGUGGGCUAAUACCGAAUAAUGCUGCGCAACGCAGGUUGUGUAGCCAAAGAUGGCCUCUGCUUGCAAGCUGUCGCUGAAGGGUGGGCCUGCGGCUGAUUAGCUUGUUGGUGGGGUAACGGCCUACCAAGGCGACGAUCAGUAGCCGACCUGGGAGGGUGACCGGCCACACUGGGACUGAGACACGGCCCAGACUCCUACGGGAGGCAGCAGUGGGGAAUAUUGCGCAAUGGGCGAAAGCCUGACGCAGCUACGCCGCGUGGGCGAUGAAGGCCUUCGGGUCGUAAAGCCCUGUCGGGUGGAACGAAUCUCCGCCUUGGUAAUACCGAGGCGGAUUGACGGUACCACCGAAGGAAGCCCCGGCUAACUACGUGCCAGCAGCCGCGGUAAUAC